UCUGAGCUGACAAUAUACGUGCUAAGUGCACUGAGCUGUGAGCCUUCCUUUCUGAUUUAUAGACAGUGCUGUUAGGUACAUCAUGCCGGCUUUCUUAUAAUCCUUUCCUACAAACUAUAUCUACUAAGUGCAGUUCUAACAGGGCUGUGUAUGAGUAUGUGUUAGAUACAUCUCUGACACGUACAGAUCUCAUUACACAGAUUUGUCUGUCAUAUACAUCCCCAGAGCUGUGUUGCCCAUGUUUUCUUUUUUAUCCAGAGAAGGCACGUCUAACACAUAACGAGGAUGUGAUAGGAUGAAUUCCUUCACAACAACUGCUCUGCAGAGCAACAGGAAUGAGCCCCCUCAACGACCUCGAGGCAGCCAGGAGAGCACACUAAAGACACUCAUGAAAGAGGACCUCCAGAACUGCUGCAGAAAGUAGCAGGGACAAUGUGGUGAGCACGUUCAGAGUGACAGAGAGCAUGUUGAGAAUGAAUGGUAAUGUACUGAAGUUUUCAAUCG
rnacentral:lncRNA from 1 species